AGCGAACGCUGGCGGCGUGCUUAACACAUGCAAGUCGCGCGGGAAAAGAGACUUUCGGGUCUUGAGUAGAGCGGCGGACGGGUGCGUAAGACGCGGGUGACCUAUCCGAGAGGCGGGGAUAACCCAGCGAAAGCGGGGCUAAUACCGGAUGAGCCCCCAGGCGGAAACGCGCGGGGCAAAGGAUGCUACUCGAUAGUGGCAUGUCCUCACGGAGGGGCCCACGGCCUAUCAGCAGUUGGUGUGGUAACGGCGCACC
rnacentral:rRNA from 1 species